rnacentral:rRNA from 1 species
CCUACGGGGGGCAGCAGUGAGGAAUAUUGGUCAAUGGCCGAGAGGCUGAACCAGCCAAGUCGCGUGAGGGAAGAAUGUCCUAUGGAUUGUAAACCUCUUUUGUCAGGGAGCAAAGUCACCCACGUGUGGGUUUUUGUGUGUACCUUAUGAAUAAGCAUCGGCUAACUCCGUGCCAGCAGCCGCGGUAAUACGGAGGAUGCGAGCGUUAUCCGGAUUUAUUGGGUUUAAAGGGUGCGUAGGUGGGUUAUCAAGUCAGCGGUAAAAUCGUGGAGCUCAACUCAAGCCAGCCGUUGAAACUGAUGAUCUUGAGUGGGCGAGAGGUAGGCGGAAUGCGUGGUGUAGCGGUGAAAUGCAUAGAUAUCACGCAGAACUCCGAUUGCGAAGGCAGCAUACCGGAGCCCGACUGACGCUGAAGCACGAAAGCGUGGGUAUCGAACAGGAUUAGAUACCCGAGUAGUC